rnacentral:rRNA from 1 species
CUUAAGCAUAUCAAUAAGCGGAGGAAAAGAAACUAACAAGGAUUCCCCUAGUAACUGCGAGUGAAGCGGGAAAAGCUCAAAUUUAAAAUCUGGCAGUCUUUGGCUGUCCGAAUUGUAUUCUGGAGAAGCGUUUUCCGCGCUGGACCGUGUAUAAGUCUCUUGGAAUAGAGCGUCAUAGAGGGUGAGAAUCCCGUCUUUGACACGGACUACCAGUGCUUUGUGAUGCGCUCUCAAAGAGUCGAGUUGUUUGGGAAUGCAGCUCAAAAUGGGUGGUGAAUUCCAUCUAAAGCUAAAUAUUGGCGAGAGACCGAUAGCGAACAAGUACCGUGAGGGAAAGAUGAAAAGCACUUUGGAAAGAGAGUUAAACAGUACGUGAAAUUGCUGAAAGGGAAACGCUUGAAGUCAGUCGCGUCAUUCAGAACUCAGCCUGGCUUUUGCUUGGUGUAUUUUCUGGUUGACGGGCCAGCAUCAAUUUUGACCGCUGGAAAAAGGCUAUGGGAAUGUGGCACCUUUUGGUGUGUUAUAGCCCAUGGUCAUAUACAGCGGUUGGGAUUGAGGACCGCAGCACGCCUUUAUGGUUGGGGUUCGCCCACAUUCGUGCUUAGGAUGCUGGCGUAAUGGCUUUAAACGACCCGUCUUGAAACACGGACCAAGGAGUCUAACAUGCCUGCGAGUGUUUGGGUGGAAAACCCGAGCGCGUAAUGAAAGUGAAAGUUGGGAUCCCUGUCGUGGGGAGCACCGACGCCCGGACCAGACCUUUUGCGACGGAUCCGCGGUAGAGCAUGUAUGUUGGGACCCGAAAGAUGGUGAACUAUGCCUGAAUAGGGUGAAGCCAGAGGAAACUCUGGUGGAGGCUCGUAGCGAUUCUGACGUGCAAAUCGAUCGUCAAAUUUGGGUAUAGGGGCGAAAGNCUAAUCCAACCAUCUANUANCUGGUUCCUGCCNAANUUUCCCUCA